rnacentral:rRNA from 1 species
UACGGGGGGGGCAAGCGUUGUUCGGAAUUACUGGGCGUAAAGGGUUUGUAGGUGGCUUGUUAAGUCAGACGUGAAAUCCCUCAGCUUAACUGGGGAACUGCGUCUGAUACUGGCGAGCUUGAGUGCAGGAGAGGAACGCGGAAUUCCAGGUGUAGCGGUGAAAUGCGUAGAUAUCGGGAGGAACACCUGUGGCGAAAGCGGCGCACUGGACCACAACUGACGCUGAGGCGCGAAAGCUAGGGGAGCAAACAGG